GAUGAACGCUGGCGGCGUGCCUAAUACAUGCAAGUCGAGCGAACAGACGAGGAGCUUGCUCCUUUGACGUUAGCGGCGGACGGGUGAGUAACACGUGGGUAACCUACCUAUAAGACUGGGAUAACUUCGGGAAACCGGAGCUAAUACCGGAUAAUAUUUCGAACCGCAUGGUUCGAUAGUGAAAGAUGGCUUUGCUAUCACUUAUAGAUGGGCCUGCGCCGUAUUAGCUAGUUGGUAAGGUAACGGCUUACCAAGGCAACGAUACGUAGCCGACCUGAGAGGGGGAUCGCCCACACUGGAACUGAGACACGGUCCAGACUCCUACGGGAGGCAGCAGUAGGGAAUCUUCCGCAAUGGGCGAAAGCCUGACGGAGCAACGCCGCGUGAGUGAUGAAGGUCUUCGGAUCGUAAAACUCUGUUAUUAGGGAAGAACAAACGUGUAAGUAACUGUGCACGUCUUGACGGUACCUAAUCAGAAAGCCACGGCUAACUACGUG
rnacentral:rRNA from 1 species